rnacentral:pre_miRNA from 1 species
UUAACUCAAGUUUGUAUGGGGUUGGAACGUUUGCGUACGUUUGCCGCUAGGGGCGCUGUUCCAACUGCAUACAAUUUUGAGUUA